GACUGUUUAUCAAAAACACAGCUCCCUGCGAACUUGUAAAAGUAUGUAUAGGGGGUGACGCCUGACCAAUGCCAGAAGGUUAAGUAUCGGCGGUGUAUGCAUCACACUGCGUGUGAUGCGACAAUUGACAACUAACAUUUAACAAUUGACUGUCGAAUUUUGCUUCGCAAAAUUCGACAAAAGUCACUUGUCACUUGUUGCAGGUCAAAUGUCGCAUCGCGCAUAGCGUGAUGCGUAUGCUGACUGAUAUAAGCCCUGGUGAAUGUCGGCCGUAACUAUAACGGUCCUAAGGUACACAUCAUGAGCAAUCGUGAUGUGUAGGACUGGGACUGUUAUAGAAGAUAAAUAGAACGCGCAAGUUACCUUACUUAUAGAAAUGUAAGUAUAGUCCAAUCAUGAUGAUCAAGAGACCAACGUCAUGGCCCUCACUUUGUCUUUUAUAGAUAGAGAAGGGAUAAGAUAGAGUCCAUGUAGUGUUUAAAAGGAAAACAUGAGCGAAUUUCCUUGUCUGGUAAGUUCAGACGUGCACGAAUGGCGUAACGACUGGGGAACUGUCUCGAGGAGCAGCUCGGUGAAAAUGCGAUACCGGUGAAGAUGCCGGUUACCUACAGCUAGACGAAAAGACCCCAGAAGCUUUACUAUAGCUUGAUAUUGAGGAUGCGUUUUAAUUGCGUAGCAUAGGUGGGAGACUUUGAAGUGUAGAUUUUGGUUUACAUGGAGUCAUCAGUGAAAUACCACUCUGUUCGAAUGUAUUUUCUAACCCGUCGCGGAAAAACCGGAUGGGAACAGUAUCUGGCAGGUAGUUUUAGUGGGGCGCUACCCUCCCAAAAAGUAACGGAGGGGCUUAUUAAGGUUCUCUAGGCGCGAAUGGAAACCGUGCCGAUAGUGUAAUGGCAUAAGAGAGCUUGACUGCAAGACGUAAAUGUCGAGCAGGUGCGAAAGCAGAACAUAGUGAACCGAUGGUCCGUUUUAGAUGCGGCCGGAGAUUAUCUGAUAAAAGCUACUCUGGGGAUAACAGGCUAGUAUCGCCUAAGCGUUCAGAGCGACGGCGAUGUUCGGCACCUCGAUGUCGGCUCAACUUAUCCUGGAGGUGGAGAAGCUUCCAAGGGUUUGGCUGUUCGCCAAUUAAAAAGUUACGCGAGCUGGGUUCAGACCGUCAGGGAACUAAAAUUCCAAACAACAAAGUCCAAAUUACAAACAAAUCUGCCUGCCGGCAGGUUCAAAUACUAAUGUUCAAAUGUUAAAACAACAACUUUGUUUUGUGCAUUUAUAUUUUUGGUUAUUGAGUAUUGUUUGUCAUUUGGUGCUUGAAAUUUGGUAUUUGGUUUUCAGACAGUCUGAACCGAAUUCAUAACGACACAAAAAUCAAGGUCUUUUCGUCUUUUCAAAAAGUAUAGAACCAAUCAAAUUACGGCGGUUGUAUUAAGGAAUUAAUACGACUUUGUUAACUUAUAUCGGUGAAAUCCCCUAAAUCAAAUUUUAAAAAAUUUGAUCGGGCGAACAUUUUUGUUAAAAAUGUUUUAGCCUUAAAUGCUGGGACAAUACCGAGGGAAUCGUGUUGACUUGUUUACAAGAGAACACGUGCCCGUAGAGACUGAAUGUUAGCCUCCUAAAUUACCUUAAGGGUAAUCGGAUGAAGUUACAGUCCAAUGCCACGAGCAAUCGUGGGUAUCAUGCGUAAGACAGGUUGGUCUCCUAUCUGCUGUAGGCGUCGAUUCUUGAGAAGAUCUGCUUCUAGUACGAGAGGACCGAAGUGGACUGACCUCUGGUGUACCUGCUGUCGUGCCAACGGCACCGCAGGGUAGCUAUGUCGGGAAUGGAUAACCUCUGAAAGCAUCUAAGAGGGAAGCCAGCUUUAAGAUAAGGAAUCGUUUGAGACCCCUGGAAGAUGACCAGGUGAUAGGCACUAGGUGGAAGUACAGCAAUGUAUUGAGCCGAGGUGUACUAAUUCGUCGAU
rnacentral:rRNA from 1 species